rnacentral:rRNA from 1 species
GACGAACGCUGGCGGCGUGCUUAACACAUGCAAGUCGAACGGAAAGGCCCUGCUUUUGUGGGGUGCUCGAGUGGCGAACGGGUGAGUAACACGUGAGUAACCUGCCCUUGACUUUGGGAUAACUUCAGGAAACUGGGGCUAAUACCGGAUAGGAGCUCCUGCUGCAUGGUGGGGGUUGGAAAGUUUCGGCGGUUGGGGAUGGACUCGCGGCUUAUCAGCUUGUUGGUGGGGUAGUGGCUUACCAAGGCUUUGCCGGGUAGCCGGCCUGAGAGGGUGACCGGCCACAUGGGGACGGAGAUACGGCCCAGACUCCUACGGGAGGCAGCAGUGGGGAAUAUUGCACAAUGGGCGGAAGCCUGAUGCAGCAACGCCGCGUGCGGGAUGACGGCCUUCGGGUUGUAAACCGCUUUCGCCUGUGACGAAGCGUGAGUGACGGGAAUGGGUAAAGAAGCACCGGCUAACUACGU